UUGACAACGUGGAUGGGAAUGAAUGAUGGUC
rnacentral:piRNA from 1 species